rnacentral:rRNA from 1 species
CCUACGGGUGACAGCAGUGAGGAAUAUUGGUCAAUGGACGCAAGUCUGAACCAGCCAUGCCGCGUGCAGGAAGACGGCUCUAUGAGUUGUAAACUGCUUUUGUACGAGGGUAAACGCAGAUACGCGUAUCUGUCUGAAAGUAUCGUACGAAUAAGGAUCGGCUAACUCCGUGCCAGCAGCCGCGGUAAGACGGAGGAUUCAAGCGUUAUCCGGAUUUAUUGGGUGUAAAGGGUGCGUAGGCGGUCGGAUAAGUUAGAGGUGAAAUCCCGAGGCUCAACUUCGGAAUUGCCUCUGAUACUGUGCGGCUAGAGAGUAGUUGCGGUAGGCGGAAUGUAUGGUGUAGCGGUGAAAUGCUUAGAGAUCAUACAGAACACCGAUUGCGAAGGCAGCUUACCAAGCUACUUCUGACGUUGAGGCACGAAAGCGUGGGGAGCAAACGGGAUUAGAUACCCGUGUAGUC